UGGAGGGCAAGUCUGGUGCCAGCAGCCGCGGUAAUUCCAGCUCCAGUAGCGUAUAUUAAAGUUGUUGCAGUUAAAAAGCUCGUAGUUGAAUUUCGGGAUUAGUGCGCCGGUCGUGCUUUCGGUAUGUACUGGUGUUACUGGUUCCUACCUUCUGACGAACCGUCAUGUCAUUAAUUUGGUGUGGCGGGGAAUCAGGACUGUUACUUUGAAAAAAUUAGAGUGUUUAAAGCAGGCUCGCGCUUGAAUACAUUAGCAUGGAAUAAUGAAAUAGGACGUUCGAUCCUAUUUUGUUGGUUUCUAGGAUUGACGUAAUGAUUAAUAGGGAUAGUUGGGGGCAUUAGUAUUCAAUUGUCAGAGGUGAAAUUCUUGGAUUUAUUGAAGACUAACUACUGCGAAAGCAUUUGCCAAGGAUGUUUUCAUUAAUCAAGAACGAAAGUUAGGGGAUCGAAGACGAUCAGAUACCGUCGUAGUCUUAACCAUAAACUAUGCCGACUAGGGAUCGGAUGAUGUUAUUUUUAAUGACUCAUUCGGCGCCUUACGGGAAACCAAAGUGUUUGGGUUC
rnacentral:rRNA from 1 species